rnacentral:rRNA from 1 species
AUUGAACGCUGGCGGCAGGCUUAACACAUGCAAGUCGAGCGGUAACAGAGAGUAGCUUGCUACUUUGCUGACGAGCGGCGGACGGGUGAGUAACGCGUAGGAAUCUACCUGGUAGUGGGGGAUAGCCCAGAGAAAUUUGGAUUAAUACCGCAUACGCCCUACGGGGGAAAGGAGGGGAUCUUCGGACCUUUCGCUAUCAGAUGAGCCUGCGUGAGAUUAGCUUGUUGGUGAGGUAAAGGCUCACCAAGGCGACGAUCUCUAGCUGGUCUGAGAGGAUGAUCAGCCACACUGGGACUGAGACACGGCCCAGACUCCUACGGGAGGCAGCAGUGGGGAAUAUUGCACAAUGGGCGCAAGCCUGAUGCAGCCAUGCCGCGUGUGUGAAGAAGGCCUUCGGGUUGUAAAGCACUUUCAGUUGUGAGGAAAGGU